UACGUAGGGUGCGAGCGUUGUCCGGAAUUAUUGGGCGUAAAGGGCUCGUAGGCGGUUUGUCGCGUCGGGAGUGAAAACACCGGGCUUAACUCGGUGCUUGCUUUCGAUACGGGCAGACUAGAGGUAUGCAGGGGAGAACGGAAUUCCUGGUGUAGCGGUGAAAUGCGCGGAUAUCAGGAGGAACACCGGUGGCGAAGGCGGUUCUCUGGGCAUUACCUGACGCUGAGGAGCGAAAGUGUGGGGAGCGAACAGG
rnacentral:rRNA from 1 species